ACUCCUACGGGAGGCAGCAGUGGGAAUAUUGCACAAUGGGCGCAAGCCUGAUGCAGCCAUGCCGCGUGUGUGAAGAAGGCCUUCGGGUUGUAAAGCACUUUCAGUCGUGAGGAAGGUAGUGUAGUUAAUAGCUGCAUUAUUUGUACGUUAGCGACAGAAGAAGCACCGGCUAACUCCGUGCCAGCAGCCGCGGUAAUACGGAGGGUGCGAGCGUUAAUCGGAAUUACGUGGGCGUAAAGCGCAUGCAGGUGGUUGUUAAGUCAGAUGUGAAAGCCCGGGGCUCAACCUCGGAAUAGCAUUUGAAACUGGCAGACUAGAGUACUGUAGAGGGGGUAGAAUUUCAGGUGUAGCGGUGAAAUGCGUAGAGAUCUGAAGGAAUACCGGUGGCGAAGGCGGCCCCUGGACAGAUACUGACACUCAGAUGCGAAAGCGUGGGAGCAAACAGGAUUAGAU
rnacentral:rRNA from 1 species